rnacentral:lncRNA from 1 species
CUGGAAAAAACGCUUGGUAGAGAAGCGAGACACGUGGCUCGAAAACGUGCUUGGACACAUGGGGAAAGUGCAUCUCUGGUCAUGGCUUCAUUCCUCUGUGACUACAGCUCGCACCAGGAAGCCCUGUCUCCAUGGCUGAAGCUGCCAGUUGUGUUUGCUCUAGGCGUCAUCUUCAAACCCUCACAUUUAUCGAAUGGUGUGGAGGUCACCGAGCCUGGUUCACAUGUUUUGUCACUGGCUGGCUGGGACAUGAGCUGCUCCUGCAGGUCUUUCUCUCUUCGGAAAACAUCUCUUGUCUUGACAAUGGAAAAUGUUCAAGAUACUGAGGGCCGUUAA